CUCACUGGGCAGCAGAAGGGUGGUGAAUGGGUGAUGCCGGUGCUGGGCAGUGGGGCCAUGGAUGUGGAAGGUGUGACUGAUUUCAGAGCCCUCCGAGCCAAAUUUCAACACGAUUCCAGCCUUGCCACCAAGCCAGUGCAGCCCUGCCAGAAGCCUUCCCCCAGAUUGGGGUCCAGAGGUAAUGGCAUGCCCAACAUUAAGGCAGAUGUGCUGGUACCUGGACCCCACAGUGAACCUCCUUGUCCUGCAUCCCAGCCCUCUGCCAUCGCCCAGAAGGCCAAGAUGGGCCACACGGAGCCAAUGGAGCACAAUGAAGAGCGCAAAGGAAAUAUCUCGGUGAAAGGGCUGAGCUCUCCCAAAAGCAGUUCUCCAAAGUAUCCAGUGUCCUAUUGCACCGAGCAGCAAGCAUCAGUCCAAGCAGGCCCUGAGGAUGCUCCGCUCCUGAACUCUUUCCACCAUGCGCUACGGAUGUGGCAGAACACUUUGUCUGGUGGUGAGAAAGCAAGUAGUGAACUGCCAGCCCUGCGGCCAAUGAACCUCUACGUGCAGCCCAGCCCAGGGCAGAGGGUGCUGCGUGCUCCCGCUGCAUCAAAUGGCAGCAAGGUGCCUCCAGUUGGCAGCCAUCCUACACCAGCCCGACCUGCCCAGGGGUUGGCUUCUGCCCAGGCAGCCCAGGGAGAUGGGAAAGCUGCUGGGAGCUCUGCAGCAACUACAUUGCAACCUCAAUGCCAGAAAGAAUCGAAGCCUCACCACUGUCAGCCAGGAGCAGGGACACAGUUGGACAGCCCAGGCAGCAAACUACCCAAGAUAAGACCUCUUCCUUCAGCUGCAUCCCUGGGUCCUGCCCCUCGGAAGCCCUCGAGACCCCCGAAGGUUGAUCUCAGCUCUUUCCGAAGCAUGGUACCUUCAGUUCACAGACAAAAUGAAACAACUGCUGAGGAAGAGGAUUACCUGAUCCCCGAAAGCACUCAACAUGAAGAGCAGCAUAAUUACGAGAAAACCCUGAUGUACCUGAAUCAGUCUGAGGACACCACAACCUUGUGUGUCAUUGAAGUACCUAAGGUAGAGCCUCAAGAACACAAGAGACAGAAGAAUUUUCUCUUUGGUGAAUCCAGUCCCAGAAGAGCUAUAAUAGGGGAUGAAAAAGAAGGAAAAACAGGUCUUGAAAGAGAGAAACAGCAAGUGAAGAAGCCAGGUGGAAAUGAAUACAUAAUUCUCAGUGGCCAAGCCAGCGAAGGUGACAGAGGUGGGAUGAAGGUGUCGCGUAUGAGGCAGGAUGUGACCAGUACCCCCCAAAGGCUGGCAAAAGACAGAGCAAAACCCUUGUACUAUGGUGCUCCUGAACCAACAGAAGACAGACCAACCUCGAGCCCAAACCAUCAUCAGCUCCUGCUGACCCCAGAGGAUUUGUACGAUGACGUUGAGGGACUUCAAGACAGACUGUGA
rnacentral:lncRNA from 1 species